rnacentral:rRNA from 1 species
AGAGUUCGAUCUGGCUCAGGAUGAACGCUGGCGGCAUGCUAAACACAUGCAAGUCGAACGGGAAGUGGUGUUUCCCGUGGCGAACGGGUGAGUAGUAACGCGUAAGAACCUGCCCUUGGGAGGGGAACAACAACUGGAAACGGUUGCUAAUACCCGUAGGGCGAGGACAAAAGGGAGAAAUCCGCCCAAGGAGGGGCUCGCGUUGAUUAGUAGGUUGGUGAGGCAAUAGCUUACCAAGGCGCUGAUCAGUUAGCGGUCCGAGAGGAUGAUCAGCCACACUGGGACUGAGACACGGCCCAGACUCCUACGGGAGGCAGCAGUGGGGAAUUUUCCGCAAUGGGCGAAAGCCUGACGGAGCAAUGCCGCGUGGAGGUGGGAAGGCUACGGGUCGUCAACCUCUUUUCUGGCGAAGAAGAAACAAUGACGGUAUAUGAGGAAUAAGCAUCGGCUAACCUGUGCCAGCAGCCGGGUAAGACAAGGAGCAAGCGUUAUCCGGAAUGAUUGGGAGUAAAGGUCUGUAGGUGGCUUUUCCAAGUCCGCCGUCAAAUCCAGGGCUCAAAUCCUGGACCGCGGUGGGAAACUACCAAAACUGGAGUACGGUAGGGGCAGAGGGAAUUUCCGGUGGCGGGGUUGAAAUGAUUGAGAUCGGAAAGAACACCAACGGCGAACGGACGAAAAGCACUCUGCUGGGGCCGACACUGACACUGAGAGACGAAAGCUAGGGGAGCAAAGGGAUUAGAGACGCCAGUAGUCUAGCCGUAAAAACGAUGGAUACAGGUGCUGUGCGACUCGACCCGUGAGUGCUGUUGUAGCGAACGCGUUAAGUAUCCAGCCUGGGGCGUACGUUCGCAAGAAUGAAACCAAGAAAUUGACGGGGGCCCGCACAAGCGUGGAGCAUGUGUUUAAUUCGAUUGCAAGCGAAGAACCUUACCAGGGCUUGACAUGCGCGAAAUCUCUUGAUAAGAGAGGGGUGCCUCGGGAACGGGACACAGUGGUGCAUGGCUGUCGUCAGCUCGUGCCGUAAGGGUUGGGUAAGUCUCGCAACGAGGCAACCUCGUGUUUUAGUGCCACUAUGAGUUUGGACCCUGAACAGACCGCCGGUGUUAAGCCGGAGGAAGGCAGAGGAUGAGGCCAAGUCAUCAUGCCCCUUAUGCCCUGGGCGACCCACCCACGUGCUAACAAUGGGAGGGGGGACAAAGGGUCGCGAUCUCGCGAGGGUGAGUAACUCCAAAACCCGUCCUCAGGUCGGAUUGCAGGCUGCAACUCGCUGCAUGAAGCAGGAAUCGCUAGUAAUCGCCGGUCAGCCAUACGGCGGUGUGACCGUUCCCGGGCCUUGUACACACCGCAAGUCACACUAUAGGCAGCUGGCAGGUUGAUCAUGACCCUUACCGUAAGGAGGGGAUGCCUAGGAUUAGGCAUUGCGAUGAGGAAGUCGUAACAUGGUAGCCGUACUGGAAGGUGCGGCUG